rnacentral:lncRNA from 1 species
AAUCAUUACCUUUAAUCAUUAUCUCAUAUGUUACACCACCAUUUAGCCAUUUAAUUAUUUAAUUUUGCAAGUAAUAUUAGAGAUAAGGAGGAGAGAGAAGAGUAUUGGGAGAAAUUAUACAUAUAAGAUUGUAUGUAUAGAUUUUUUCUAAUUACUAAAAAUCCCAACACAUUCUCAAACAAAAGGUUUCAUUUUAUUUUACUUCUCAUUUCCCACAAAAACUAAGAAACCAGAGAGAGAGAGAGAGAGAGAGAGAGAGAGAGAGAAGGCCGGGCAUUAGGCGAAGAAAAGGGGGGUUUUGAUCUUCAUGCUUCCCAAGUUUAUCUUAUAUUUUGGAAAGGUAAGAAGGGUAACCAUCAAAUCAAGGUAUAACCCAAAAUUCUAAGCUCUAAAUUUCUGUCUUUCUUGCUUUGUUUUGUAGAAGAGGUGCGAGGGUUGCAUGUAAGGAUAUAACCAUUUGAGUGUUUGAGUGUUUAUCAAAAGGAAGAAAAAUGAAACUAUGUUCGUAAAGGUGAAAAACCCUUACUNNNNNNNNNNNNNNNNNNNNNNNNNNNNNNNNNNNNNNNNNNNNNNNNNNNNNNNNNNNNNNNNNNNNNNNNNNNNNNNNNNNNNNNNNNNNNNNNNNNNUAGAUGUGUAAAUUAAUUUGUAAACGCAAGUAGUAGCACUAAAAAAUAAUGAUUUUUCAAGCAUUGGGGUUGUUUGGAGCAAAACAGUCUAGAUUUGACAAAAGAGAAAUGUAAUACCCAGUAAAAAUAAAUAAAAAUUUAUUUUGUUUUAAAACAUAUUGAUUGGACUUUGUUUUUAGUUGGGUCAAAUUGUAUUUAAUUUAUGUGGACUAAAAUAUAUAAGAGACAUUAAUUUGGGCUUAAAGUAAUUGGGUCUAAUUUAUAAUUGUGCAUUUUUUUUAAACCUAUUAAAUUAAGAGAGUUAAUAUAAAUUUAUUAAUUAAUUAAUAAAAAAUUAAAACCUAAUUUUCAUACAUAUGAUACAAAGUGUUUGAAAGAAAGGAGAUAGCAGUCGCUGCUACCGAAAAAUAGAAAGAGGAAGAGAUCUAUGCGGCAGUGGUAGAAAAGUAGAAAAUAAAAAGAAUAAAUUCUCUCAAUUAAGGUAAGGUCAGUAUGUAAUCUCAUUACUUUUCCUGAUAAAGAAUUUAGGUGUGGGGUUUGAUGUUAAUUGGGUUUGCAGAAUUUUAUAUUGUUUAUGAGCGUGUUGCAGAGUAUAGAAAUUAACUAAUGGAGUGGUCAUUCACGUUAACACUGAUGCCUUCAAUUUGUAUGACCUGCUUUAAUUAUACACACUAACUAAUAAAAUAAUAAAUAACUAAACUAAUAGAUUAAUUUAUUGCAAUAUGAUUAUAUGCAUGUUCAUGAUUUUGCCAGAUUGAAAAGUCAGGGUCGUUACCUCACACACACACACACACACACACACACACACACACACACACACAUAUAUAUAUAUAUAUAUAUAUAUAUAAUAUUUUAGUUGUUAUUCAAUUUUAGUGUCAGGCUUAUAAAUGAAUUAGGAAUUUAGUAUAUUUAAAUAAACUAAUUAAUUUUGUUGAUAAAAUUAUAAAAAUUUACUUAAAAAUAAAUUUAACAAUAUUAUGUUAUUAAUGGUUAGAUUUGUAAUAAAAUUUUACUUUUAUUUUGUUAGAUCGAAUUGAAGGAGAUUAGCAUAAUUUUAUAUAAACCUUGGGUAUUACAUUGCUCAAUUCAGGUACGGAUUUCGUACUCUUUCAGCAAGACUCUUUUGUUUUUGAUUUGUUCGUUUCGUUAUUCGUUUCGAAAUCUAGUAUUGCAUCUCAUAAUUAUUCCUUGUCAAUUUAUUUUGAUAGUUCGUUUGGUGUUCAUAGUUAGAACUCAUAUUUGUAUUCUUUAGACUAGUACAACAUGUCUAAAUUUAUUUUGAUAGUUCCGUCUUGGUAUUGAUACUUAGAACUCGUGUUUGUACUCUUGAUCUAGUGUAUCAUCUUUUGUAUUUAUUUUGAUUCUCGUAGAAAGUACAUGUUAAUAAUUUUGGAGACUUUGAGUUGAUGAUUCAUUUCAGUUUAACAUGUACAUAUUAGAAACCCUUUUUGUUGAUAUUAUGUCGCAUGUGUUGUGACAUGGUAUCCUUGUUAGAAUACCGUAGGGUAUACCUGAGCUAUAACCACCUGUGGGGGUACCACAGGCAUGUCCUCUUGGCACCGAGGCAUGACACCUUCCGUGGCGGUGUGAUCAGUCCACGGCGUCUCCGUUUUGUGCUCCGUUGGGAGUUGGCCAUUUAGUGUUUUGUUGUGGGAGGCGUAUGGGUCGACCCUAGUUUUAUGUUCUGUUCUGUUCUGCGGAUUGAUAAUGUUUGUGCCAAACACGCCUUCCGAUUUGCAUGCAUCUGGAUCCGGCCGGUCCGAUGUAUGUUAUGCCUGUGUGGCAUUAUUUUGAUUUGCUUGUGUGGCAUUAUUUGACUUGCCUGUGUGGCAAGGUAUAUUUCUGUUUUGUUCUGAGCUCGGUAUGAAAUAACAUCCAGCCAUUUGAUUCAGCCUAUUAUUUCGUUGUGUUAGUUUUGUUCGUUUCGUUUCAGUUCAUCUCGUUUCAUUUCAUUAAUUGAGUUAGUUAUUUUGGUUCAUUAUUUGUAUUCUAUAUCCGUACUGGACAUUUGGCUCACUGUGUUUUUCUUCCGGAAGGUAAUCAGGGGGAUCAAGGGCAAGUGUGAUGAGAGCUCCAUUCAUUCCAAUGAGUUAGAAACAUUCUGUUUAGACUUGAUGUGUCAGUUUACUUGGAAUUGUAAUAAUCAUUUUAGAUUGUGGUUUGAGCCAGUGUGGCAUUUAUUAUGGUUGGUUCUAAGACAUUUAAUCAGUUUAAGAUUAUUCUUUUGUGGAUUAGAGUUUUGCUUUAUAUUCAUCAGUUUUCUUAUGUUUUGAGUAACUUCUCUUUCUAUUUCGGAAAGGGGGUGUUACAAGAAAGGAGACAGUUUCUGGCCAUUCCAUAGCAAGGGUGUUUUAGGCAUUUCAUAUGUUUUAAAAAUUUUGGAAAACUUUGGUAUGAUACUUUGAUGAGUUAUUUGUAUUUAGAAAAUAGAAUGGUAAUUUUUGAAUGUGUAGAAUGAAAGUUAUGGAUUUUACAAGAAAUGACUAUUUAAAAAUUAAACACGAAUAACUCUUAGUGUAACUCCAAAAAUGAUAAAUUUUUUACUGGAGGUAGAUGUAUGUAACAGGAGUAGACCCUGAAAAUUUCAUAAUUUUUGGACAAGAUUUUGACUUAUGAAAAAUGUUACAAGAUUCAGUUGGUUUAGUCAUUUUAAAAAUAGUAAAUUACAUUGUAAAUUCCAGAAAAAUUUGGGGGUCAUCGGUGAACCCUCUAUCAAAAC